AAGACUAUAGACCUGCGGAGUACCUGCGGAAGGAUCAUUAAUGAGAAACUGCCCCUCGCGGGUAGAUCUCCCACCCUUUGUAAACUUACCUUUGUUGCUUUGGCAGGCCCGUCUCCGGACCGCCGGCUUCGGCUGGCCAGUGCCUGCCAGAGGAUUCUAAAACUCUGUCUGUCAGUGUUGUCUGAGUCUAUAUACAAUCGUUAAAACUUUCAGCAACGGAUCUCUAGAUCGGAAGAGCAC
rnacentral:misc_RNA from 1 species